rnacentral:miRNA from 1 species
CUUUUGUUUUGGUUUGUUUU